rnacentral:rRNA from 1 species
CCUACGGGCGGCAGCAGUGGGGAAUAUUGCACAAUGGGGGAAACCCUGACGCAGCGACGCCGCGUGAGUGAAGAAGUAUUUCGGUACGUAAAGCUCUAUCAGCAGGGAAGAAAAUGACGGUACCUGACUAAGAAGCCCCGGCUUACUACGCGCCAGCAGCCGCGGUAAUACGUAGUGUGCAAGCGUUAUCCUGAUUUACUGGGUGUAAAGGGAGCGUAGACGGCAGCGCAAGUCUGGAGUGAAAUCCCAUGGGUUAACCAUGGAACUGCUUUGGAGACUGUGCAGCUAGAGUGCAGGAGAGGUAAGCGGAAUUCCUAGUGUAGCGGUGAAAGGCGUAGAUAUUAGGAGGAACACCAGUGGCGAAGGCGGCUUACUGGACUGUAACUGACGUUGAGGCUCGAAAGCGUGGGGAGCAAACAGGAUUAGAUACCCUAGUAGUC